rnacentral:rRNA from 1 species
ACAGGUGCUGCAUGGCUGUCGUCAGGCUCGUGUCGUGAGAUGUUGGGUUAAGUCCCGCAACGAGCGCAACCCUUGUCAUUAGUUGCCAUCAUUCAGUUGGGCACUCUAAUGAGACUGCCGGUGACAAACCGGAGGAAGGUGGGGAUGACGUCAAGUCCUCAUGGCCCUUAUGGUAGGGCUUCACACGUCAUACAAUGGUCGGUACAGAGGGUUGCCAAGCCGCGAGGUGGAGCCAAUCCCAGAAAGCCGAUCGUAGUCCGGAUUGGAGUCUGCGACUCGACUGCGUGAAGUCGGAAUCGCUAGUAAUCGCGGAUCAGCAUGUCGCGGUGAAUACGUUCCCGGGUCUU